GCAGUCGGAAGAGUUGGGAGCAGGCCUCGGGCGGUAGCUCCUCAAACUCGGACCGCAUCCCACCUCCACCCCGGCCUCAGUCCCGGCGCUGAGCACCACUCGCCAGACGCAAAACUGCAACUGCCAGGCAUCGCGCAUCUCUCAAAGGCUCCCCGCCAGCCCACCUCUUCCUCCAGGGCCACCCCAAGUUUCACCCGACGCUCCAGGUCAGGGGUCCCCGACCUCCCGCCAUUUCUCCACGUAGCCGCAGCUCAGGACAGGAGGAGAGAGCCUCAAGGUGACACCUCAUUUUGGCCAGUGGAUCCGGGUUCUGGGUCCGAGUUCCCGGGCACCAGGAGCCAGGCAGCCCGAGCUCCCGGGCCCGGCUUCCCAUGAGAGGCCCCGUCGCCUCACCUGGCAGCGGCACACGAUGUCGGCGUCCUGCGCCAGCAGGUCCACCACCUUCCCUUUGCCUUCGUCGCCCCACUGCGCACCGAGCACCACCGUCACCCGGUUUCCUCCGGGCCGCGCCCUGGGGCGGCCGCAAUCGCCGUUGGGCAGGGAGGAUGCCGCCGGGUAGGUCUCGGCGAACGCCAUGGCUCCAGUGACGCGAGGAGAGCCCGAAGGAGAGGCGGCCGGCGAGGAGUGAGCGAACUGAACUGCUCUGCGGCCGCCAGCCACAUGCAGAGGAAGAAGGAGCCAGAGGCCGGCCCCGCCCCCGCCCCGCCGGGCCGCCACCCUCCAGCCAGUCCCCGCCCCGCUCUCCGCCACAGCCCGCUCAAGGGGGUACCAUGACUGCCCCGCGCAGGCCGGCCUCGGCAGCACCGCCCGCAGGAAGAGGCCCUGGUGGCGGCAACGGCCGCCACCCCGGACCGAGGCCACGCCCCUUCCGCGGCCUGGCGCGCCACUCCCGUGCAAACCUCGCGAGCGGAAAAGGUCAGGGGCGGGGCUUCGAGAGCGCUUCUCCUUCAGCACCCCGCCUACCCGCUCUACCUCUCGCUUUCAAACUGGAGAGGCGCGGAAGCGCGUGUGGAGCGUCGGACUACAAAUCCCAGCAUGCAACGCUCUGGGCUGCGGCGGUGUAUUCUGGGGCCACUGUGUCUGCCAUCUGCAGGGGAAAAAAAGGAGGAGAGAGAGAAGAGACAGAUUCAGUUGGCCUCAUGCUAUCUUCAUUGGAUCUUCUUUGGAAAGAUUAAGUUAGAGUAUGAAGGAACAUUAUUUACUGAGUGGAGUGUGCCAGAAACUUGUUUUGUGCUAAAUAAAAGCUCACCCACGACAGAAUUGCGUUGUUCCUCACCUGGUGUUCACGCUAUAAAACCAAUUGUUACUGGCCCAGAUGAAGAAGAACGCUAUUUAUUUGUGGAAAGUUCUCAUACUUGCUUUCUGUGGUACUAUAGAGUUAGACAUUUCUUUAACAACUUUACCCAGCUUAUCACUGUGUGGGCAUAUGAUCCAGAAAGUGCAGAUCCUGAUGAGUUGCUGGGGAAUGCAGAAGAACCUUCAAUAAAUUCCAUAGUACUCAGCACACAGAUGGCCACAUUGGGACAGAAGCCUGUCAUACAUACAGUUCUGAAGAGAAAAGUUUAUUCUUCAAAUGAGAAAAUGAGAAGGGGGACCUGGCGUAUUGUAGUACCAAUGACAAAAGAUGAUGCACUAAAGGAGAUUAGAGGAAACCAAGUUACUUUUCAGGAUUGCUUUAUUGCAGAUUUUCUUAUUCUGUUGACUUUUCCUUUGUUGACCAUACCUGAAAUUCCUGGUUAUUUACCAAUCUCCUCACCACGUGGUAGUCAAUUAAUGGCUUCCUGGGAUGCUUGUGUAGUUGCAUCUGCUGUUUUGGUGACAGAUAUGGAGACCUUUCACACAACUGAUUCAUUCAAAUCUUGGACCAGAAUCAGAGUGCCUCCAGACAUUCUGAGUGAUGAUGAAAGACGGAGUGUGGCUCAUGUGAUCUUAUCGCGGGAUGGAAUCGUUUUUCUUAUAAAUGGUGUUCUUUACAUAAAGAGUUUUCGUGGAUUUAUAAGACUGGGAGGAAUUGUAAAUCUUCCUGAUGGUGGAAUUACUGGCAUUUCAUCAAGAAAAUGGUGUUGGGUCAAUUAUUUAUUAAAGGCUAAAGGAAGAAGAAGCACCUUUGCAGUCUGGACAGAAAAUGAAAUUUACCUCGGAUCCAUUCUUCUUAAGUUUGCCAGAUUAGUAACUACCACAGAACUGAAAAACAUCCUAAGUCUAUCGGUGACUGCUACUCUGACCAUAGACAGGGUUGAGUAUACAGGACACCCUCUGGAGAUUGCUGUGUUUUUAAAUUAUUGCACUGUAUGUAACGUCACCAAAAAGAUUUUCUUAGUGAUAUAUAAUGAAGAUACAAAACAGUGGGUUUCCCAAGACUUUACAUUAGAUGCCCCUAUUGACAGUGUUACCAUGCCACAUUUUACAUUUUCAGCACUGCCAGGAUUACUGCUAUGGAACAAGCAUAGUAUCUACUAUUGUUACCAUAAUUUCACCUUUACUGGGAUUUUACAGACACCUGCAGGACAUGGAAAUCUAUCAAUGCUAUCAAAUGACAGCAUUAUUCAUGAAGUUUUCAUAGAUUAUUAUGGAGAUAUUUUGGUAAAAAUGGAAAAUAAUGUAAUAUUUUAUUCCAAGAUUAAUACUAGAGAUGCAGUAAAGCUGCAUUUAUGGACAAAUUACACAACAAGAGCAUUCAUUUUCUUAAGUACAUCUGGUCAAACAUAUUUCCUGUAUGCUUUGGAUGAUGGCACAAUACAAAUACAGGACUAUCCCUUACAUCUGGAAGCACAAAGUAUAGCUUUCACAACAAAAGACAAAUGCCCAUACAUGGCAUUUCAUAACAAUGUUGCUCAUGUUUUUUACUUUUUGGACAAGGGAGAGGCUCUGACAGUUUGGACUCAGAUCGUCUAUCCAGAAAACACUGGUCUGUAUGUUAUUGUGGAAUCUUAUGGCCCAAAAAUAUUACAAGAGAGUCAUGAGAUUUCCUUUGAAGCUGCCUUUGGAUACUGCACCAAAACUCUGACACUAACAUUUUAUCAGAAUGUAGAUUAUGAGAGAAUAUCUGAUUACUUUGAGACACAAGACAAGCACACGGGUCUUGUGCUGGUUCAGUUUCGACCUAGUGAAUAUUCAAAAGCAUGUCCAAUAGCCCAAAAGGUGUUCCAAAUAGCUGUUGGCUGUGAUGAUAAAAAAUUCAUUGCAAUUAAAGGAUUUAGUAAAAAAGGAUGUCAUCACCAUGAUUUUUCAUACGUGAUUGAAAAGUCAUAUCUGAGGCAUCAGCCAUCGAAAAACUUGAGAGUAAGGUAUAUUUGGGGAGAAUAUGGCUGCCCUCUGAGGCUUGACUUCACAGAAAAGUUUCAACCUGUGGUUCAACUAUUUGAUGAUAAUGGCUAUGUUAAAGACGUUGAAGCAAAUUUCAUAGUGUGGGAAAUACACGGCAGGGAUGACUAUAGCUUUAAUAAUACUAUGGCACAGAGUGGUUGUUUACAUGAAGCACAGACAUGGAAGUCAAUGAUUGAACUUAACAAGCACCUCCCACUAGAAGAAGUCUGGGGACCUGAGAACUAUAAACACUGUUUUUCUUAUGCUAUUGGAAAACCAGGAGACUUAAAUCAACCAUACGAGAUUAUCAACAGUUCUAAUGGUAACCAUAUAUUUUGGCCCAUGGGCCAUUCUGGAAUGUAUGUAUUUCGUGUGAAGAUCCUGGAUCCAAACUAUAGGCACAAUAGUAAUUCAGAGAUGGGAAAGAUUAAUGCUAUUUUGAGCAGUAAAAGAAAACUUUCUGGAGAACACAGAACAUCAGUAGAAUUUACAUUGCCAGAAGACAGAGACAGACGCUUCCAGUGAAAGAAAUCACACUAAUAACGGAAUGGAGCUAAACGUUAGCAAAAGUUUCUGUAACCUAACAGCUAUGUUUGCAAUAGAGACAUUUGGACUGAUUCCCAGUCCAAGUGUCUACCUGGUAGCUUCUUUCCUCUUCGUCCUGAUGCUGCUCUUCUUCACUAUUCUUGUUUUGAGCUACUUUCGGUACAUGAGGAUUUAUAGACGAUAUAUUUAUGAACCACUUCACAAACCUCAAAGAAAACGUAAGAAGAAUUAGGAAAACUGAAAGUUUGUUUAUUACAGAUAUAUGCAUAUAGAGAAACAGUGUAUUACAUAGUGAUAUUGAGAGUGUGUGUUUGACCAAGAAAUACUAAAUAUAAGCUCGUAGUAGGCAUCACCAAAUUCAAGAUCUGAAAAAUAUUCUUGAACUAUCUCCAAAAUAGAAAUGUUUUCAUAUAUAUUGUUAUUAAAUUAAUCCUUUGUUUGCCUUCAUUUUAAAGAUACUCUAUGUACUCUCACAUGGCAUGAAAAAAUAAACUAAAUUUGACUAUUACAAUCCUUUGUAAGAAUGAAAGUGAAUUUUUGAAAAUAUAUCUAUGUGUCAAGUAUCAUUUUGCAUGAAACUUUUCACAUGAAACCUUAUAUGACUGUAGUUAAUUUAUAUAUAAAGGAUUUAAUAAAGGUGUGUGGAUUUAAAUAA